rnacentral:rRNA from 1 species
UCGCCUACAUGAAGCUGGAAUUGCUAGUAAUCACAGGUCAGCAUACUGUGGUGAAUACGUUCCCGGGUCUUGUACACACCGCCCGUCACACCAUGGGAGCCUGAAAUGCCCGAAGCCAGUGACCCAACCUUAGGGAGGGAGCUGUCGAAGGUGGAGCCGGUAACUGGGGUGAAGUCGUAACAAGGUACC